ACGUGGACAACCUACCCUUUGGUCUGGCAUAAUCCUGGGAAACUGGGGAUAAUUCCGGAUAGGUCACAGAUGCUGGAAUGCACUGUGGCUCAAAGCUCCGGCGCCAAAGGAUGGGUCUGCGGCCUAUCAGGGUUGUAGUGGGUGUAAUGUACCUACUAGCCUACGACGGGUACGGGUUGUGAGAGCAAGAGCCCGGAGAUGGAUUCUGAGACACGAAUCCAGGCCCUACGGGGUGCAGCAGGCGCGAAAACUUUACAAUGCGGGAAACCGUGAUAAGGGAAUCUCGAGUGCCAGCAUAUAAUGUUGGCUGUCUGGAUGCCUAAAAAGCAUCUGUUAGCAAGGGCCGGGCAAGACCGGUGCCAGCCGCCGCGGUAACACCGGCGGCCCGAGUGGUAACCGCUUUUAUUGGGUCUAAAGGGUCUGUAGCCGGCCAAGUAAGUCCCUUGGGAAAUCUGGCAGCUCAACUGUCAGGCUGCUAGGGGAUACUGUUUGGCUUGGGACCGGGAGAGGUGAGAGGUACCUUGGGGGUAGGGGUGAAAUCUUGUGAUCCUCGAGGGACCACCAGUGGCGAAGGCGUC
rnacentral:rRNA from 1 species